rnacentral:rRNA from 1 species
UACGGAGGGGGCUAGCGUUGUUCGGAAUUACUGGGCGUAAAGCGCGCGUAGGCGGACCUGCAAGUCGGGGGUGAAAGCCCGAGGCUCAACCUCGGAAUUGCCUUCGAUACUGCGGGUCUCGAGUCCGGGAGAGGUGAGUGGAAUUCCUAGUGUAGAGGUGAAAUGCGCAGAUAUCGGGAAGAACACCCGUGGCUAAGGCGGCUCUCUAGUACGGUACUGACGCUGAGACGCGAAAGCGUGGGGAGCGAACAGG